GUCAGCAGGAGACAGUGGUUUGUCUGUUAGACUAUAACUCCAGAGGCCUGGGUUCGAAUCCCUGCUCUGCCA
rnacentral:tRNA from 1 species